rnacentral:misc_RNA from 1 species
UAGGUUUGACAUGCUGGUGAAAGCCUGACGAAAGUCGGGCCCUUCUUCGGAACACCAGCACAGGUGCUGCAUGGCUGUCGUCAGCUCGUGUCGUGAGAUGUUGGGUUAAGUCCCGCAACGAGCGCAACCCUUGCCCCGUGUUACUAACAGGUCAUGCUGAGGACUCUCGGGGGACUGCCGGCGUCAAGCCGGAGGAAGGUGGGGAUGACGUAGUACACCUGAAC